rnacentral:rRNA from 1 species
CAGUAGCCGCGGUAAUACGUAGGGUGCAAGCGUUAAUCGGAAUUACUGGGCGUAAAGCGUGCGCAGGCGGUUUGUUAAGACAGAUGUGAAAUCCCCGGGCUCAACCUGGGAACUGCAUUUGAGACUGUAUGGCUAGAGUGUGUCAGAGGGGGGUAGAAUUCCACGUGUAGCAGUGAAAUGCGUAGAUAUGUGGAGGAAUACCGAUGGCGAAGGCAGCCCCCUGGGAUAACACUGACGCUCAUGCACGAAAGCGUGGGGAGCAAACAGGAUUAGAUACCCCUGUAGUCCCUGUCUCUUAUAC